rnacentral:rRNA from 1 species
AGUGAACGCUGGCGGUAGGCCUAACACAUGCAAGUCGAACGGCAGCACAGUAAGAGCUUGCUCUUACGGGUGGCGAGUGGCGGACGGGUGAGGAAUACAUCGGAAUCUACUUUUUCGUGGGGGAUAACGUCGGGAAACUUACGCUAAUACCGCAUACGACCUACGGGUGAAAGCAGGGGAUCUUCGGACCUUGCGCGAUUGAAUGAGCCGAUGUCGGAUUAGCUAGUUGGCGGGGUAAAGGCCCACCAAGGCGACGAUCCGUAGCUGGUAUGAGAGGAUGAUCAGCCACACUGGAACUGAGACACGGUCCAGACUCCUACGGGAGGCAGCAGUGGGGAAUAUUGGACAAUGGGGGCAAGCCUGAUCCAGCCAUACCGCGUGGGUGAAGAAGGACUUCGGGUUGUAAAGCCCUUUUGUUGGGAAAGAAAAGCAGCAGGUUAAUACCCCGCUGUUCUGACGGUACCCAAAGAAUAAGCACCGGCUAACUUCGUG